rnacentral:rRNA from 1 species
UACAGAGGGGGCAAGCGUUGUUCGGAAUUACUGGGCGUAAAGAGCGCGUAGGCGGCCUUCUAAGUCGAACGUGAAAUCCCCGGGCUCAACCCGGGAACUGCGUCCGAUACUGGAAGGCUUGAAUCCGGGAGAGGGAUGCGGAAUUCCAGGUGUAGCGGUGAAAUGCGUAGAUAUCUGGAGGAACACCGGUGGCGAAGGCGGCAUCCUGGACCGGCAUUGACGCUGAGGCGCGAAAGCCAGGGGAGCAAACGGG